GGCCUCGUGGCUCAGCUGGUAGAGAGUGCGCGUACGAAGCGUAGGCGGCGUCCAUGCGUGGGUUCGAAUCCCACCGAGGUUA
rnacentral:tRNA from 1 species